ensembl:lncRNA
GUCUGAGAAAGGCUACAGUACCAUUCCCGUCAAGGUGUUUUCAGAGGGUAGAAGUAGGCAUACGAAGAAAAAAAGCAUUGGGGGGUGGAAACUAAAUACCUCUGGUUUUUAAACCGCUGUAAUUCUACCAACAAAGAGAAGGGGUCCGAGACUGUUUUAGCUGAACUGAAAUGCGUUUUUAAUCAAAUACAUUCGUUUUGGAUUUUAAACCAGCGUGUUUUUUUUUCAUGCAAGUUACGCUCUGAGUCUGGGUAAAUCCUGCUUCUUGCGCUUCAACCAUCCAGAGGAGGCCAGCCGUAUGAACAGCAUGCUGCCUCUGAAGACCCCUGUCUCACCCCUGGGCUACAGCACAGUCUCCACCCACCACGUCUGUGACCUCACCCACGUCGAUGUGGUCGGCCUAUCAGGAACAGGCUAGGCGCUUCUACGGCUCUGAUCGUCCUCCUCUCUCUGGCAAAGCUGCCGCCCCUCACUCCCCCUCUCGGCGCUCUGACCCCCCUUCCUCCCGAACCUCCAUGACCCGGAAACAAUCAUACCAAUCACAGGACAGCCUGCUCAUCUCCCCUGGCAAUGGGCGACGCCCACUAAACCCAAACUCCUCCCCCCUGUUGUCGAUGCGGAACUGUGGAGGUUCCUCUAACUCAGUGGCCGGUGGUGAUAGCCUCUCCUCUCCUCCACCCUCAUCCCUCUUUCCAACUAGUGGAGCAGCCAGCAUGCCCUCCAGUCCCCGCCUGGGACUACGAAGCCACGGCAACCAUGAGCCGGUGCCUAGCAACCGAACCAGGAAGUACUCUGCAGGUUCUAUAGGCGGCAUAAUGGAAAGUCACAGCUGCUCACUGCCCCGCCUCUGCCCCUCAUCACCUCGUUCCCAUGACAACGGAGCCCUGGCCCUGUUUUCCCUCCCCCUGACCUCUAAUCCUCUACGCAACUCCUCUCACAACAAUAGCCAAAACCAUACCACAAACAACAACUACAAUCAUAACCAAAUCACUAACUUCACCUACAGCCAGGCUCAAAACAUGAACCGGAACCAAGGAGAGGGGGUGGAAUCCAUCUCUCUCUCCAUCCCUGAAUCUCCCACCCAGGCCCCUCCAGACGUGACCUCACCGUCCCUAUCAGGGGGCUCUUCCAGCCCCGGUGUGGCCAAGAUACUCAGCGUCACCUCCACCAGCUCCACCUCCAGCCUUCAGGAGCCAAAGAGGUCAGCCAGCCGAGGAGCCUCCCCUGGACCAGAGCUCUUUCUGGGGGAGAGGCGGAGAGAGCACAGGGGGGGAAGACUGGAGCCUGUGCUAGGAUUAGAGGAACGAAGGCAGU